GGCAUGCUAAUACAUGCAAGUGGGAGCAAGGGAACACACUGUGCUUGCACACCGUGUUUUCUUGAGUCGCGAACGGGUGAGUAACGCGUAGGUAACCUGCCUAUUAGCGGGGGAUAACUAUUGGAAACGAUAGCUAAUACCGCAUAAUAUUAAUUAUUGCCUGAUAAUUGAUUGAAAGAUGCAAGCGCAUCACUAGUAGAUGGACCUGCGUUGUAUUAGCUAGUUGGUAAGGUAAGAGCUUACCAAGGCGACGAUACAUAGCCGACCUGAGAGGGUGAUCGGCCACACUGGGACUGAGACACGGCCCAGACUCCUACGGGAGGCAGCAGUAGGGAAUCUUCGGCAAUGGACGAAAGUCUGACCGAGCAACGCCGCGUGAGUGAAGAAGGUUUUCGGAUCGUAAAGCUCUGUUGUAAGUCAAGAACGUGUGUGAGAGUGGAAAGUUCACACAGUGACGGUAGCUUACCAGAAAGGGACGGCUAACUACGUGCCAGCAGCCGCGGUAAUACGUAGGUCCCGAGCGUUGUCCGGAUUUAUUGGGCGUAAAGGGAGCGCAGGCGGUCAGGAAAGUCUGGAGUAAAAGGCUAUGGCUCAACCAUAGUGUGCUCUGACCCAAAAUUUAAGGUUGUUGGCUCCUUGGAAACUGUCCUGACCUUGAGUUGCCAGAAAGGGGGGAGAGUUGGAAUUCCAUGUGUAGCGGUGAAAAUGCGUAGAUAUAUGGAGGAACACCAGUGGCGAAAGCGGCUCUCUGGUCUGUCACUGACGCUGAGGCUCGAUAGCGUGGGUAGCGAACAGGAUUAGAUACCCUGGUAGUCCACGCCGUAAACGAUGAGUGCUAGGUGUUAGGCCCUUUCCGGGGCUUAGUGCCGGAGCUAACGCAAUAAGCACUCCGCCUGGGGAGUACGACCGCAAGGUUGAAACUCAAAGGAAUUGACGGGGGCCCGCACAAGCGGUGGAGCAUGUGGUUUAAUUCGAAGCAACGCGAAGAACCUUACCAGGUCUUGACAUCCCGAUGCUAUUCUUAGAGAUAGGAAGUUACUUCGGUACAUCGGAGACAGGUGGUGCAUGGUUGUCGUCAGCUCGUGUCGUGAGAUGUUGGGUUAAGUCCCGCAACGAGCGCAACCCUUAUUGUUAGUUGCCAUCAUUAAGUUGGGCACUCUAGCGAGACUGCCGGUAAUAAACCGGAGGAAGGUGGGGAUGACGUCAAAUCAUCAUGCCCCUUAUGACCUGGGCUACACACGUGCUACAAUGGUCGGUACAACGAGUUGCGAGCCGGUGACGGCAAGCUAAUCUCUGAAAGCCGAUCUCAGUUCGGAUUGGAGGCUGCAACUCGCCUCCAUGAAGUCGGAAUCGCUAGUAAUCGCGGAUCAGCACGCCGCGGUGAAUACGUUCCCGGGCCUUGUACACACCGCCCGUCACACCACGAGAGUUUGUAACACCCGAAGUCGGUGAGGUAACCUUUUAGGGGCCAGCCGCCUAAGGUGGGAUGGAUGAUUGGGGUGAAGUC
rnacentral:rRNA from 1 species